rnacentral:misc_RNA from 1 species
AUGAAGAACGCAGCGAAAUGCGAUAAGUAAUGUGAAUUGCAGAAUUCAGUGAAUCAUCGAAUCUUUGAACGCACAUUGCGCCCGCCAGCAUUCUGGCGGGCAUGCCUGUUCGAGCGUCAUUUCAACCCUCGAGCCCCCCCGGGGGCCUCGGUGUUGGGGGACGGCACACCAGCCGCCCCCGAAAUGCAGUGGCGACCCCGCCGCAGCCUCCCCUGCGUAGUAGCACACACCUCGCACCGGAGCGCGGAGGCGGUCACGCCGUAAAACGCCCAACUUUCUUAGAGUUGACCUCGGAUCAGGUAGGAAUACCCGCUGAACUUAAGCAUAUCAAUAAGCGGAGGA